CUCCGAUAAUGCGAGUUAUUGGAGGAAAGGUAACCUCUUGAUAAAGUUACCGUAGAGGGAGGGGCUUGCGUACCAUUAGCUAGUUGGCGAGGUAACGGCUCCCCAAGGCGACGAUGGUUAGCGGGUCUGAGAGGAUGAUCCGCCACACUGGAACUGAAACACGGACCAGACUCCUACGGGAGGCAGCAGUGAGGAAUAUUGCGCAAUGGGGGCAACCCUGACGCAGCGACGCCGCGUGAGUGAAGAAGGCCUUUGGGUUGUAAAGCUCUGUCGGGAGGGAAGAAAUGCUUGGCGGUUAAUAGCCGUCAGGUUUGACGGUACCUUCAAAGGAAGCACCGGCUAACUCCGUGCCAGCAGCCGCGGUAAUACGGAGGGUGCGAGCGUUAAUCGGAAUUACUGGGCGUAAAGGGCGCGUAGGCGGCCCGGCAAGUCAGAUGUGAAAGCCCACGACUCAAUCGUGUGAAGUGCAUUUGAAACUAUCGGGCUUGAGUACCGGCGGGGGAGAUGGAAUUCCCGGUGUAGAGGUGAAAUUCGUAGAUAUCGGGAGGAAUACCGGUGGCGAAGGCGAUCUUCUGGACGGAUACUGACGCUGAGGCGCGAAAGCGUGGGGAGCAAACAGGAUUAGAUACCCU
rnacentral:rRNA from 1 species